ACGGGUGAAGUAACGACGUAGGAAACCUGUCCGUUUUAGAGGGGGACAACAGAGGGAAACUUCUGCUAAUACCCUAUAUGAGCGUAGCUGAAAUGCUAUUCUUGAAAACUCCGGUGCUAAAAGAUGGGCCUGCGCCUGAUUAGCUAGUUGGCGGUGUAAUGGACCACCAAGGCGACGAUCAGUAGCUGGUUUGAGAGGAUGAUCAGCCACAAUGGGACUGAGACACGGCCCAUACUCCUACGGGAGGCAGCAGUAGGGAAUUUUGCGCAAUGGGCGAAAGCCUGAACCGCAGCAACGCCGCGUGAACGUAGAAGCCCUUCGGGGUGUAAAGUUCUGUCAGAGGGGACGAAUUUUGACGGUACCCUCAGAGGAAGCACCGGCUAACUCCGUGCCAGCAGCUGC
rnacentral:rRNA from 1 species